GACGAACGCUGGCGGCGUGCUUAACACAUGCAAGUCGAACGAAGAGCGAUGGAAGCUUGCUUCUAUCAAUCUUAGUGGCGAACGGGUGAGUAACGCGUAAUCAACCUGCCCUUCAGAGGGGGACAACAGUUGGAAACGACUGCUAAUACCGCAUACGAUCUAAACUCGGCAUCGAGGAUAGAUGAAAGGUGGCCUCUACAUGUAAGCUAUCACUGAAGGAGGGGAUUGCGUCUGAUUAGCUAGCUGGAGGGGUAACGGCCCACCAAGGCGAUGAUCAGUAGCCGGUCGGGGAGGAUGAACGGCCCCAUUGGGACUGAGACACGGCCCAGAAUCCUACGGGAGGCAGCAGUGGGGGAUCUUCCGCAAUGGACGAAAGUCUGACGGAGGAACGCCGCGUGAGGGAUGACGGCCUUCGGGUUGUAAAGCUCUGUUAAUCGGGAAGAAAGGAAUUCUUGCGAAUAGUGAGAAGGAUUGACGGUACCGGAAUAGAAAGCCACGGCUAACUACGUG
rnacentral:rRNA from 1 species